UACAGGUUAAUAUGAGUACACUUAUAUCAAGUCAAAUAAUUUGUCAGGCACAUGAAAUAUGUUUCAAUAACAAUUUUUUUGUUCAACAUAGUAAAUAAUAACAUUAAACAUAAUCUUUUUUGGACGUCUGUGUAUGAAUGGGUGUAUCAAGUUGUGUAACAA